CCUACGGGAGGCUGCAGUGGGGAAUAUUGGACAAUGGGCGAAAGCCUGAUCCAGCCAUGCCGCGUGUGUGAAGAAGGUCUUCGGGUUGUAAAGCACUUUCAGUGGGGAAGAAAGCCUUGGGGCUAAUACCCUCGAGUAUGGACAUCACCCACAGAAGAAGCACCGGCUAACUCCGUGCCAGCAGCCGCGGUAAUACGGAGGGUGCGAGCGUUAAUCGGAAUUACUGGGCGUAAAGCGCGCGUAGGCGGUCUGAUAAGCCGGUUGUGAAAGCCCCGGGCUCAACCUGGGAACGGCAUCCGGAACUGUCAAGCUAGAGUACAGGAGAGGAAGGUAGAAUUCCCGGUGUAGCGGUGAAAUGCGUAGAGAUCGGGAGGAAUACCAGUGGCGAAGGCGGCCUUCUGGACUGACACUGACGCUGAGGUGCGAAAGCGUGGGUAGCAAACAGGAUUAGAUACCCUUGUAGUC
rnacentral:rRNA from 1 species